ACAGUUUGAACAUGUUAGAGCUGAAAGGAAUUUGCUUGCUGAAUGUGGCAGUCACUGCAUUGUGAAACUCUUCUGUUCCUUUCAAGAUGCUGAGUACUUUUAAUUGUGGAAUUUCUGCACUGGUGGGGACAUGAAGACUUUGCUGAUGAGUGAGUAGACCUUGACUGAAACUGUGGCUAGAGAUUUUACAUUGCUGAAAGUGUGCUGGCCAUAGAAUCUAUUCAUAAGCACAACUACAUUCACAGAGAUUUAAAACCUGACAAGCUGCUGUUGGACAAAAGUGGACAUAUGAAGCUCUCUGAUUUUUGUCUUUGCAAGCUUCUUGACUGGACAAAUUUGCCUGGUAUAAAUGAAAAUGAAGCUUUGGAUGAUGAGGAUUUGAAUGAAUCAAUGGAUGUUGAUGGCUGCUUUCCAGAAUCUGGUAGUGGGAGACAUUGGAAAAGCCCUCUUGAACAAUUACAGUAUUGGUAUGCACUGAAUACCUUUUCUUGAGAACAGACAUGGCACAUAUCCCUUCUGUUUUCAUUGCAGAUUACUUAUGUUCAAGACAGACAUGUUUGCUAUCUGUAUUUUGAAGGAUUACAUAAAUAAAACUGAAGAUAGUGAUUUAUAAUGGAUGGAAAUUUAAUUAUGUGGCUACAA